CACGGCUGCAGUUGAAGAGGCUCUUUAGCUCUUUCUUGGGCUCCCUUGGGUGAACUUGGAUGGCUUUCCUAGUGGGAAAGCAGGGAGAAGACUGGGCAGAAGCCAAGAAUCUGCUGAGCACGGAGCGCAGCGCAUGGAACCCCACACUGCUCACGGAUGCCACAGAAAUUACAGAAAAGCUGGUGAAAAAUAAUAAGGCACUCGUUCUCUUUCCUGCUGCCCUGUGAAGAGAUGCCUUCUGCCAUGAUCAGCAUGCAUGCUGCAAUAGGAGACUGAGAUUCUGAACCAAGUAUAAUUGAAGUAUUUAUG